UACGUAGGGUGCGAGCGUUGUCCGGAAUUACUGGGCGUAAAGAGCUCGUAGGCGGUUUGUCGCGUCUGCCGUGAAAGUCCGGGGCUCAACUCCGGAUCUGCGGUGGGUACGGGCAGACUAGAGUGAUGUAGGGGGAGACUGGAAUUCCUGGUGUAGCGGUGAAAUGCGUAGAUAUCGGGAGGAACACCAGUGGCGAAGGCGACUAUCUGGGCUGCAACUGACGCUGAGGCGCGAAGGCUAGGGUAGCAAACAGG
rnacentral:rRNA from 1 species